UACAGAGGGUGCGAGCGUUGUCCGGAAUCACUGGGCGUAAAGGGCGCGUAGGCGGCUUGAUAAGCGUGCGGUGAAAGCCCGGGGCUCAACCCCGGGUCGGCCGUGCGAACUGUCGAGCUGGAGCACUGUAGAGGCAGGUGGAAUUCCGGGUGUAGCGGUGGAAUGCGUAGAGAUCCGGAAGAACACCAGGUAGCGAAGGCGGCACUCGUGGGCCGUG
rnacentral:rRNA from 1 species